rnacentral:rRNA from 1 species
CGGUAAUUCCAGCUCCAAUAGCGUAUACUAAAGUUGUUGCAGUUAAAAAGCUCGUAGUUGGAUUUCUGCGGGGACGGAGCGGCCGGUCGCAACUUGCGACUCGAGCUAGCGCUUUCCCCGCAUCCUGCCGCGAACCGUGCUACCAUUAGCUUGGUGGCGCUGGGGAUCGGCUCGAUUACUUUGAGAAAAAUAGAGUGUUCAAAGCAGGCCACACGCCUUGAAUAAGUUAGCAUGGAAUAAUGACUAAGGACUUCGGUUCUAUUUUGUUGGUGUUCGGGACUGAAGUAAUGAUUGAUAGGGACAGUUGGGGCGGUCUGUAUUCCAAAGCGAGAGGUGAAAUUCUUAGACCUUCGGAAGACAAACAGCUGCGAAAGCGUUCCGCAAGGAUGUUCCCUUUGAUCAAGAACGAAAGUUGGGGGAUCGAAGACGAUCAGAUACCGUCGUAGUCUCAACUAUAAACUAUACCAGCUAGGGAUGGGUCAACGUUUAAUCAUUCGACUUGAUCGGCACCUUAUGAGAAAUCAAAGCAUCUGGGUUCCGGGGGGAGUAUGGUCGCAAGGCUGAAACUUAAAGGAAUUGACGGAAGGGCACCACCAGCCGUGGAGCCUGUGGCUUAAUCUGACUCAACACGGGAAAACUUACCAGGUCCAGACAUAGUAAGGAUUGACAGAUUGAUAGCUCUUUCUUGAUUCUGUGGGUGGUGGUGCAUGGCCGUUCUUAGUUGGUGGAGUGAUUUGUCUGGUUAAUUCCGUUAACGAACGAGACCCCAGCCUGCUAAAUAGCGCGGCUGAGCUUUGCUCGGUGCGAGCUUCUUAGAGGGACUAUGAUGCGCGAUAGCACAUGGAAGUUUGGGGCAAUAACAGGUCUGUGAUGCCCUUAGAUGUUCUGGGCCUCACACGGGCUACACUGGCGCCUGCAACGAGCAUAUCAGCUGGCCCGAGAGGGUCUUGGCUAAUCUUUUGAACCGGCGCCGUGCUUGGGAUUGACCAUUGCAAUUGUUGGUCAUGCAACGAGGAAUGCCUUGUAAACGCGAGUCAUCAGCUCGCAUUGAAUACGUCCCUGCCCCUUGUACACACCGCCC